GACGAACGCUGGCGGCGUGCUUAACACAUGCAAGUCGAACGGAAAGGCCCUGUUCUUGUGGGGUGCUCGAGUGGCGAACGGGUGAGUAACACGUGAGUAACCUGCCCUUGACUUUGGGAUAACUUCAGGAAACUGGGGCUAAUACCGGAUAGGAGCUCCUGCUGCAUGGGGGGGGUUGGAAAGUUUCGGCGGUUGGGGACGGACUGGAGGGUUAUCAGUUUGUUGGGGGGGUAGUGGCUUACCAAGGCUUUGACGGGUUGCCGGCCUGAGAGGGUGACCGGCCACAUUGGGCCAGGGGUGCGGGCCGGAGGCCUACGGGAGCCAGCGGUGGGAAAUAUAGCACAAUGGGCGGAGGCCGGGUACAGCAACGCCGCGUGCGGAAUGACGGCCUUCGGGUUGUAAACCGCUUUCGCCUGUGACGAAGCGUGAGUGACGGUAAUGGGUAAAGAAGCACCGGCUAACUACGUG
rnacentral:rRNA from 1 species